GGUGAGUAACACGUGGGAACAUACCUUUUGGUUCGGAACAACUGAGGGAAACUUCAGCUAAAACCGGAUAAGCCCCGAGGGGGAAAGAUUUAUCGCCAUUAGAUUGGCCCGCGUCCGAUUAGCUAGUUGGUGGGGUAAAGGCCUACCAAGGCGACGAUCGGUAGCUGUUCUGAGAGGAAGAUCAGCCACACUGGGACUGAGACACGGCCCAGACUCCUACGGGAGGCAGCAGUGGGGAAUAUUGGACAAUGGGCGCAAGCCUGAUCCAGCCAUGCCGCGUGGAUGAAGAAGGCCCUAGGGUUGUAAAGUCCUUUCGGUGGUGAAGAUAAUGACGGUAACCACAGAAGAAGCCCCGGCUAAUUUCGUGCCAGCAGCCGCGGUAAUACGAAAGGGGCUAGCGUUGUUCGGAAUUACUGGGCGUAAAGCGCACGUAGGCGGCAUUGUAAGAUGGGGGUGAAAUCCCCGGGCUCAACCCGGGAACUGCCUUCAUGACUGCAAAGCUCGAGGAUGCGAGAGGUGAGUGGAAUUCCGAGUGUAGAGGUGAAAUUCGUAGAUAUUC
rnacentral:rRNA from 1 species